AGCUUUGCGCAGUGGCAGUAUUGUAGCCAAUGAGGUUUAUCUGAGGUGCAAUUAUUGCUAAUUGAAAACUUUUCCUAACACGAGUACUGGAAAAAUUUAAGUAUGUAGCUCAUAUGAUAUUUCUACUCGGCAGAACUAGGAAAUAUAUUCCCAGAAAAUAAUUUUUUUUUCAAAGA
rnacentral:snRNA from 2 species